rnacentral:rRNA from 1 species
UCUUAGCUUGCUAAGGCCGAUGGCGACCGGCGCACGGGUGAGUAACACGUAUCCCACCUGCCGUCUACUCUUGGACAGCCUUCUGAAAGGAAGAUUAAUACAAGAUGGCAUCAUGAGUCCGCAUGUUCACAUGAUUAAAGGUAUUCCGGUAGACGAUGGGGAUGCGUUCCAUUAGAUAGUAGGCGGGGUAACGGCCCACCUAGUCUUCGAUGGAUAGGGGUUCUGAGAGGAAGGUCCCCCACAUUGGAACUGAGACACGGUCCAAACUCCUACGGGAGGCAGCAGUGAGGAAUAUUGGUCAAUGGGCGAGAGCCUGAACCAGCCAAGUAGCGUGAAGGAUGACUGCCCUAUGGGUUGUAAACUUCUUUUAUAAAGGAAUAAAGUCGGGUAUGGAUACCCGUUUGCAUGUACUUUAUGAAUAAGGAUCGGCUAACUCCGUGCCAGCAGCCGCGGUAAUACGGAGGAUCCGAGCGUUAUCCGGAUUUAUUGGGUUUAAAGGGAGCGUAGAUGGAUGUUUAAGUCAGUUGUGAAAGUUUGCGGCUCAACCGUAAAAUUGCAGUUGAUACUGGAUAUCUUGAGUGCAGUUGAGGCAGGCGGAAUUCGUGGUGUAGCGGUGAAAUGCUUAGAUAUCACGAAGAACUCCGAUUG